CUGUUUCUCCUUUAUUCUUAAAUAAUAUCUUUCUGAGGCAUAAAAUUAGGUUGGCCGUCAUUUUUGUUCUGUACAUUAAUAUUAUCGUUCCACUGUCCUAGAGCUUACAUUGUUGCUGUUGAGAAGUAAGCUUUUAGUAAACAAACCUUCGAGUAAGGAAGAACAAACAGAAUUUUUUCGUUGUUGUUAUGUUUUGUUUUGUUUUUUUGAGAUGAUUACAUGAUAUUAGAUACAGAAAACCCUAAGACUCUACCAAAAAUCUGUUAGUACAGAAUUCUCAUAUAUCCACAUGCAGAAGAAUGAAAUUGGACACUCAUUUCAUUUCAUAUACAAAAAUCAACUCAAAAUGAUGAAUCAAAGGUCUAACACUUAAUAUAAAACUGUAUAGCUACUGGAAGAAGGCUUAGAGAAAAAUGACUUUAUAUUAGUCUAAGCACUAAUUUGGGAGGUAUGACUCCAAAAGUACAGGCAACAAAAGCAAAAAUAGAUAUAUGGGAUUGCCUCAAACUAAAAAGCA
rnacentral:lncRNA from 1 species